rnacentral:rRNA from 1 species
UACGUAGGGUGCAAGCGUUAAUCGGAAUUACUGGGCGUAAAGCGUGCGCAGGCGGCUUUGCAAGACAGAUGUGAAAUCCCCGGGCUCAACCUGGGAACUGCAUUUGUGACUGCAUGGCUAGAGUGCGGCAGAGGGGGAUGGAAUUCCGCGUGUAGCAGUGAAAUGCGUGAGAUAUGCGGAGGAACACCGAUGGCGAAGGCAAUCCCCUGGGCCUGCACUGACGGCUCAUGCACGAAAGCGUGGGGAGCAAACAGG